rnacentral:rRNA from 1 species
AGCGAACGCUAGCGGCGGGCUUAACACAUGCAAGUCGAGCGGAGAGCUUCGGCUCUCAGCGGCGAACGGGUGAGUAACACGUAGGUAACGUGCCCUUUGAUGGGGAAUAACCUAGGGAAACCUGGGCUAAUACCGCAUAUGUCUUUCGGGAUGAAAGCCUUCGGGCGUCAGAGGAUCGGCCUGCGGCCCAUUAUUUAAUCCUAGUUGGUAGGGUAAUGGCCUACCAAGGGUACGAUGGGUAGCUGGUCUGAGAGGAUGAUCAGCCACACUGGAACUGAGACACGGUUCAGACUCCUACGGGAGGCAGCAGUGGGGAAUAUUGGACAAUGGGCGAAAGCCUGAUCCAGCCACGCCGCGUGGGUGAUGAAGGCCUUCGGGUUGUAAAGACCCUGUCGGGAGGGACGGAAGUCAAUGACGGUACCGUCCCAA